rnacentral:rRNA from 1 species
UACGGAGAGUGCAAACGUUGUUCGGAUUCACUGGGCGUAAAGGGCACGUAGGCGGCUCGGCAAAUCGGUCGUGGAAUCUCGACGCUUACCGUCGAAACGGCGGCCGAAAAUACCGGGCUCGAGGGCGUGAGGGGUCACUGGAACUCCUGGUGAAGCGGUGAAAUGCGUAGAUAUCAGGAGGAACGCCGGAGGCGAAAGCGAGUGACUGGCGCAUUCCUGACGCUGAGGUGCGAAAGCUAGGGGAGCAAACAGG